GAUGAAGAACGUAGUAAAAUGCGAUACUUGGUGUGAAUUGCAGAAUCCCGUGAACCAUCGAGUUUUUGAACGCAAGUUGCGCCCGAAGCCUUUUGGCCGAGGGCACGUCUGCCUGGGCGUCACGCAUCGCGUCGCCCCCCACAAUUCUCCGUAAAGGGAACAUGUGUUUUGGGGGCGGAUAUUGGUCUCCCGUGCUCAUGGCGUGGUUGGCCGAAAUAGGAGUCCUUUCGAUGGACGCACGAACUAGUGGUGGUCGUAAAAACCCUCGUCUUUUGUUUCGUGCUGUUGCUCGCAAGGUAAACUCUUUAAAAACCCCAAUGUGUCGUCUCUUGACGACGCUUCGCCCGCGACCCCAGGUCAGGCGGGACUACCCGCUGAGUUUAAGCAUAUCAAUAAGCGGAGGA
rnacentral:misc_RNA from 1 species